GUGGGGAAUAUUGGACAAUGGGCGAAAGCCUGAUCCAGCCAUGCCGCGUGUGUGAAGAAGGUCUUCGGAUUGUAAAGCACUUUAAGUUGGGAGGAAGGGCAGUAAGUUAAUACCUUGCUGUUUUGACGUUACCGACAGAAUAAGCACCGGCUAACUUCGUGCCAGCAGCCGCGGUAAUACGAAGGGUGCAAGCGUUAAUCGGAAUUACUGGGCGUAAAGCGCGCGUAGGUGGUUUUGUAAGUUGGAGGUGAAAUCCCCGGGCUCAACCUGGGAACUGCCUCCAAAACUGCAUGACUAGAGUACGGUAGAGGGUAGUGGAAUUUCCUGUGUAGCGGUGAAAUGCGUAGAUAUAGGAAGGGACACCAGUGGCGAAGGCGACUACCUGGACUGAUACUGACACUGAGGUGCGAAAGCGUGGGGAGCAAACAGGAUUAGAUACCCUAGUAGUCC
rnacentral:rRNA from 1 species